UACGAAGGGGGCUAGCGUUGCUCGGAAUCACUGGGCGUAAAGCGCACGUAGGUGGCCUGUUAAGUCGGGUGUGAAAUCCCUGGGCUCAACCCAGGAAGUGCACUCGAAACUGGCAGGCUUGAGUACUGAAGAGGAUCGCGGAAUUCCCGGUGUAGAGGUGAAAUUCGUAGAUAUCGGGAGGAACACCAGUGGCGAAGGCGGCGAUCUGGGCAGAUACUGACACUGAGGUGCGAAAGCGUGGGGAGCAAACAGG
rnacentral:rRNA from 1 species